rnacentral:rRNA from 1 species
AACGCGUAGGAAUCUACCCAGUAGUGGGGGAUAAGCCAGAGAAAUUUGGUCUAAUACCGCAUACGCCCUUCGGGGGAAAGCAGGGGCUCUUCGGACCUUGCACUAUUGGAUGAGCCUGCGUGAGAUUAGCUAGUUGGUGAGGUAAUGGCUCACCAAGGCGACGAUCUCUAGCUGGUCUGAGAGGAUGAUCAGCCACACUGGGACUGAGACACGGCCCAG